rnacentral:tRNA from 1 species
GGGGACGUAGCUCAGCCUGGGAGAGCACCACGCUGAAGACGUGGGAGUCCGGGGUUCAAAUCCCCGCGUCCCCA